AACGAACGCUGGCGGCAUGCCUAACACGUGCAAGUCGAACGAAGGCUUCGGCCUUAGUGGCGCACGGGUGCGUAACGCGUGGGAACCUGCCCCUCGGUUCGGAAUAACAGUUAGAAAUAGACUGCUAAUACCGGAUGAUGACUUCGGUCCAAAGAUUUAUCGCCGAGGGAUGGGCCCGCGUAGGAUUAGCUAGUUGGUGGGGUAAAGGCCUACCAAGGCGACGAUCCUUAGCUGGUCUGAGAGGAUGAUCAGCCACACUGGGACUGAGACACGGCCCAGACUCCUACGGGAGGCAGCAGUGGGGGAAUAUUGGACAAUGGGCGAAAGCCUGAUCCAGCAAUGCCGCGUGAGUGAUGAAGGCCUUAGGGUUGUAAAGCUCUUUUACCUAGGGAGUGAUAAUGACAGUACCUGGAGAAUAAGCUCCGGCUAACUCCGUG
rnacentral:rRNA from 1 species